GCCCCGAUGGUCUAGUGGUAUGAUUCUUCGUUCGGGUUAACAAAUCUGACCUCGAAGAGGUCUCGCGUUCGAGUCGCGAUUGGGGCC
rnacentral:tRNA from 1 species